rnacentral:rRNA from 1 species
GACGAACGCUGGCGGCGUGCCUAAUACAUGCAAGUGGGACGCAAGGGAACACACUGUGCUUGCACACCGUGUUUUCUUGAGUCGCGAACGGGUGAGUAACGCGUAGGUAACCUGCCUAUUAGCGGGGGAUAACUAUUGGAAACGAUAGCCAAUACCGCAUAAUAUUAAUUAUUGCAUGAUAAUUGAUUGAAAGAUGCAAGCGCAUCACUAGUAGAUGGACCUGCGUUGUAUUAGCUAGUUGGUAAGGUAAGAGCUUACCAAGGCGACGAUACAUAGCCGACCUGAGAGGGUGAUCGGCCACACUGGGACUGAGACACGGCCCAGACUCCUACGGGAGGCAGCAGUAGGGAAUCUUCGGCAAUGGACGAAAGUCUGACCGAGCAACGCCGCGUGAGUGAAGAAGGUUUUCGGAUCGUAAAGCUCUGUUGUAAGUCAAGAACGUGUGUGAGAGUGGAAAGUUCACACAGGGACG